ACGCGAAGAACCUUACCAGGGUUUGACAUCCUGCGAACCCCUUGGAAACGAGGGGGUGCCUUCGGGAGCGCAGAGACAGGUGGUGCAUGGCUGUCGUCAGCUCGUGUCGUGAGAUGUUGGGUUAAGUCCCGCAACGAGCGCAACCCACGUCUUUAGUUGCCAGCAUUCAGUUGGGCACUCUAGAGAGACCGCCGGUGAUAAACCGGAGGAAGGUGUGGAUGACGUCAAGUCAUCAUGCCCCUUACAUCCUGGGCUACACACGUACUACAAUGCUACGGACAAAGGGCAGCAAGCUCGCGAGAGUAAGCAAAUCCCAUAAACCGUGGGGUCAGUUCAGAUCGUAGGCUGCAACUCGCCUACGUGAAGGAGGAAUCGCUAGUAAUCGCAGGUCAGCAUACUGCGGUGAUACGUUCCCGGGC
rnacentral:rRNA from 1 species